rnacentral:rRNA from 1 species
GAGUUUGAUCUUGGCUCAAGGAUGAACGCUGGCGGCGUGCCUAACACAUGCAAGUCGAAGCGAAGCAUACAGGAGGAGGUUUUCGGAUGGAAUCCUGCAUGGCUGAGCGGCGGACGGUGAGUAACGCGUGGGUAACCUGCCUUAUACAGGGGAUAACAGUUAGAAAUGACUGCCAAUACCGCAUAAGCGCACAGUACCGCAUGGUAGUGUGUGAAAAACUCCGGUGGUAUAAGAUGGACCCGCGUCUGACUAGCCAGUUGGCGAGGUAACGGCUCACCAAGGUCGACGA